UACAGAGGUCCCAAGCGUUGUUCGGAUUCACUGGGCGUAAAGGGUGCGCAGGUGGGUUUGCAAGUUCGAUGUGAAAGCCCCGGGCUUAACCCGGGAAUGGCAUUGGAUACUGCAGAUCUGGAGGAUCGGAGGGGGGACUGGAAUUCUUGGUGUAGCAGUGAAAUGCGUAGAUAUCAAGAGGAACACCAGUGGCGAAGGCGAGUCUCUGGACAGUUACUGACGCUGAGGCACGAAGGCCAGGGGAGCAAACGGG
rnacentral:rRNA from 1 species